rnacentral:rRNA from 1 species
CCUACGUGUGGCAGCAGUGGGGGAUAUUGCACAAUGGGGGGAACCCUGAUGCAGCGACGCCGCGUGGGCGAUGAAGUGCCUCGGCGCGUAAAGCUCUGUCAGCAGGGAAGAAAAUGACGGUACCUGAAGAAGAAGCCCCGGCUAAAUACGUGCCAGCAGCCGCGGUAAUACGUAGGGGGCAAGCGUUAUCCGGAGUUACUGGGUGUAAAGGGGGCGUAGGCGGCGGGGCAAGCCUGGUGUGAAAGCCCGGGGCUCAACCCCGGGACUGCACUUGGAACUGCCUGGCUGGAGUGCAGGAGGGGCAGGCGGAAUUCCUGGUGUAGCGGUGAAAUGCGUAGAUAUUAGGAGGAACACCAGUGGCGAAGGCGGCCUGCUGGACUGCGACUGACGUUGAGGCCCGAAAGCGUGGGGAGCAAACAGGAUUAGAUACCCGUGUAGUC